rnacentral:lncRNA from 1 species
AAUUACCCAAGGCGGAAUUAAAAGAGAAAGACGAGAUAGAACCUGUGAAGGAGAGAUUUGGGGGGUUUCAGGAGCUCCAUUAAUUGGGAAUACUGCUCGAUGGUGAGAUCAGGAAUGGGACAGCUCACGGUGAGAGGUGAGUUAGUAGAAGACCCGAGCCGACUGAAAUUUGGUGCACUGUCGGUGUUGAGGUUUGUUGUCCUUUACGCUUUUCCUUCGAUGGCCACCAUUCUGAGUAACCAAUGAUCUCUAAACACUUCGUGCGAGGAUGUCCUGGUUUCCCACAAGCUUCGCAUAGUGGUGUCCCAACUAGCCAGACACUCCGUGAACUUGGGGCUUGUUGUGAAGGCGAUGAACGGGCCACUAGGGCUGAAAAUUUCGAUCGAGAGGCAAGCAAUUGGACUAAGCGUUGGGCUUCUUCUUGGUGGAGUAUGGCAUAGCAACGCCCAAUUGAAGGAAGGGAAUCCAUGGCCAAGAUUUGGGAUCGGAGUUGUUGGUAGCUAUCAUUCAGGCACAUGAGAAAUCGGUAGAUGUAGUCCGAAUCUUGAAUUUCAGAGAGAGCUUUGGCUGCACCGCAAGUACAUGGCGUUGUGGGCUGGAGUGAAGAUAAUUCAUCCCAGAUUUCUUUCAAUUUUCCGUAAUAGGUUGUGAUGGAUUGUUGUUCUUAUUAAGGUUGGCCAGUUCACAUUUCGAUCGGAAGAUUUUGGUUCGAUUAAUCCGUUGAAAUCUUGUUUCUAGUUCGAUCCAUAGAUCGUUAGGUGUUGCAUAGUAGAGGAGACUUCCGGUGAGAGAUUGAUCAAUGGAAUGCAAGAGCCAUGACAUUACCAUAUCACAACAUCGAUCCCAGAGAAGUGCAACAGCUGUAUUGGUGGUUGGAUGAUUAAUGGUACCGAGAAUGCUACCCAACUUGUUUUUGGCAUUCAAGGCACGUGUUAUGGAUCAACGCCAAGCAGGGUAGUUGUCCCCCAUUGAGGACUGCAUCUACAAGAAAUUGGUUGGGUUGUUCGGACGAGUGUAGAAAGUAGGGUGAAGAGG